GUGAGGAAUAUUGGACAAUGGGCGCAAGCCUGAUCCAGCCAUGCCGCGUGCAGGAAGACGCAUCUAUGGUGUGUAAACUGCUUUUGUACGGGAAGAAACACUCCCUCGUGAGGGAGCUUGACGGUACCGUAAGAAUAAGGAUCGGCUAACUCCGUGCCAGCAGCCGCGGUAAUACGGAGGAUCCAAGCGUUAUCCGGAAUCAUUGGGUUUAAAGGGUCCGUAGGCGGUUUAAUAAGUCAGUGGUGAAAGCCCAUCGCUCAACGAUGGAACGGCCAUUGAUACUGUUAGACUUGAAUUACAAGGAAGUAACUAGAAUAUGUAGUGUAGCGGUGAAAUGCUUAGAUAUUACAUGGAAUACCAAUUGCGAAGGCAGGUUACUACUUGUGGAUUGACGCUGAUGGACGAAAGCGUGGGGAUCAAACAGGAUUAGAUACCCUUGUAGUCC
rnacentral:rRNA from 1 species